rnacentral:misc_RNA from 1 species
GGAAGUAAAAGUCAUAACAAGGGCUCCGUAGGUGAACCUGCGGAGGGAUCAUUACAGAGUCCUCGCCCUCACGGGUAGAUCUCCCACCCACUGUUAUCGUUACUGUCGUUUCUUUGGCGGGCCGCCGGGUCCCCGGCCGCCGGCGCCUAGCUGCCGGCGCGCGCCCGCCAGAGGCCUUCAAACUCUGAAUGUUAGUGUCGUCUGAGUACUAUAUAAUAGUUAAAACUUUCAACAACGGAUCCCUUGGUUCUG